AUUAGUGCCCUUAUAAAAGAGGCCCCGGAGAGCUGCCUUGCUCCUUCCACCAUGUGAGGACACAGCAAGAAGGGGCUGACUCUGAACCAGGAAGCUGUGCUGUGCUCACCAGACACUUUGAUCUUGGACUUCUCAGCCUCCAGAACUAUGGGGUUCUGCUCUUGUCACCCAGACUGGAGUGAAGUGGCACAAUCUCGGCUCACUGCAACCUCCGCCUCCCGGGUUCAAGCGAUUCCCCUGCCUCAGCCUCCAGAGUAGCUGGACUGCAGGCGCACGCCACCACUCCUGGCUAAUUUUUGUAUUUUUAGUAGAGACGGGGUUUCACCAUGUUGGCCAAGAUGUUCUUGAUCUUCUCACCUUGUGAUCCGCCCACCUCAACCUCCCAAAGUGCUGAGAGACUAAGACACCUUUCUAGACAGAGAGGAGGCCGAUGGCAGACAUUCUCAGAUAGGUUUGUAGCUAUUGACCUGGCUGCAUCAAAGGAGAUGAAAUCCCUUAGAAAUUGACAGCUUCUAUGAAAUUUACAAUCAAGAAGGCAUAAGAACAACUGCUGCAGCUUCAGAACUAUGCAGAAAAUAAAAUGUCAACAGCUGGGAGAAAAAAUUCUAAGUGAGCAACAGAGCCAGUGAAAAAUAUCACCAGUAGAGCAGGCACCUGAGACAGGGAAAUGGCACCCACUAAGUGCAGGUCUACAGGGGCUGACCUUGCAGACCAUUUAUGGAUCCCAAGUUACCAAAACCCUUAUUUGAUUAUGAACUGCAUAGUAGAUACCAAUACAUCAGAGCAUUGUCUCAAUGUUAAUAUCUAUCUGUGCUGAUUGUAUUGUGGUCAUGUAACAGAAUGAAUGCCCUUGUUCUUAAGUGAUACGUGGGAAAAUAUUUGAGGGGUGAAGUGUCAUGAUGUUUGCUACUUACUCUCACAUGCUUUGGCAAAAAUAAAACAUCUCUCUCUCUCCAGGCAAAAUAUAGUAAUCAGUAAAAUAUUAACAAUCUGUGUGAAGGGUAAAAGAGUAUCCAUUAUACUAUUCCUGCCAUUUUCUACAGCUUAGACAUUUUUCAAAACAAUUAAAUAUUUUCAAAACAAGAAGUUGGGAAAGGGAAGUAUUGAUCAUGGAUCAUACUAGUAGAAUUUUUUUGAUAUAUAUGUAUACAUAAUUAUAAGUUACAUAAGCAUAUUGCUCAAAAUAAUAUAUUCUGUAGACCAUUAAACAUUUUAUAAAAUGGGGACAUUACAUUGAUUAAGUAAAUAUCAAUGUUUAAAACAAAGUGAUCUCCCUUUAAAACAAAGAGAUUCCUUUCACUUACAAACUAUCUCACUGCUACAAAGAAAAUAUGUGGCAAAUGGUAAAUUGCUGGGAUUGGUAUGUUGAAUUUUAAACCUUGUAUUUAUAAAAGAACAGAUACAUUCAGCCUGUCUGUUCAGAUUGGGAAAACAUUUACAGUGGGCUAUCUACCAAAGGUGAUGGAACACAGCUUGGAGGUCUAGAAGCUCAUGAAUCAAGUCCUAAUGAGAAGAAUUUGUUGCCAAGAAUCUCUAAAAAAUAUGAGACUUUAUCAGAAUCCUCAGGGCUGCCUCAAUCUUUGUUCCCAGGAAGCAAGAACAAGUAAUGGAGCUCCGAGCCAAGCCACCAGGGCAGAACAGGGAGCCAAUAGUGGUGAAGAAAGCCUCAAACCCAGCAACAGAUUCCUGAGAGUGGAAUGGGACUAAGUCGGUUUCUUAAUCUUCCUAAGGGAACUCCUCAGACCCAGCUCAGAGUUCAGCGAGAGACUGUGCCCCUAAUUUUCUUCCAGUGGGACAGAACUGGUCAUAAACAAGAUUGAUGUGCCACUCAGACUCUAGCAAGGGCAGAGAAGGUUCCAAGUGUGCUUUGCUGUCAUAAACACUGUAUCUACUGUCUGCUUCCUUAAAGAAAAGAAUUUUAAAAUCUGGUGAACAAUUCUCUCAUGUUAUAAGGGCCAAAGACCCAGAAAGGGAAG
rnacentral:lncRNA from 1 species